rnacentral:misc_RNA from 1 species
GAUGAAGAACGUAGCGAAAUGCGAUAAGUAACGUGAAUUGCAGAAUUCAGUGAAUCAUCGAAUCUUUGAACGCACAUUGCGCCCCCCGGCAUUCCGGGGGGCAUGCCUGUUCGAGCGUCUCCAGGACGAAUCCUCGCGCGAGUGAACGCGCGGUCGUGGCGGAGGUGGCGUGCCCGAGCAGGGCGGCCACCGCGCUGGAAUCCAUGGGCGGACGCCUGCCGCGUGGCCGAGCGUGAUAUGACGCAUUGGCGCUCGUGCGCGGCGAGGCUGCCAGCCCUGGCCCGUCUGUCGGGCGGGGUAGAUCACCACGUGGGAACUCCUCGAAUCAGGUAGGGAUACCCGCUGAACUUAAGCAUAUCAAUAAGCGGAGGA